UACGGAGGGUGCGAGCGUUGUCCGGAAUCACUGGGCGUAAAGGGCGCGUAGGCGGCUCGUGAAGUCAGUGGUGAAAGCCCAGGGCUCAACUCUGGGUCGGCCACUGAUACUCGCGAGCUCGAGUUUGGUAGAGGCAGAUGGAAUUCCGGGUGUAGCGGUGGAAUGCGUAGAGAUCCGGAAGAACACCGGUGGCGAAGGCGGUCUGCUGGGCCAAGACUGACGCUGAGGCGCGACAGCGUGGGGAGCAAACAGGAUUAGAUACCCUGGUAGUCCACGCCGUAAACGAUGGGCACUAGGUGCUUGGGGGAGCGACCCCUUGAGUGCCGGCGCUAACGCAUUAAGUGCCCCGCCUGGGGAGUACGGCCGCAAGGCUGAA
rnacentral:rRNA from 1 species